rnacentral:rRNA from 1 species
AUUGAACGCUGGCGGCAGGCCUAACACAUGCAAGUCGAACGAGUGGCGGACGGGUGAGUAAUGUCUGGGAAACUGCCUGAUGGAGGGGGAUAACUACUGGAAACGGUAGCUAAUACCGCAUACCAUCGGAUGUGCCCAGAUGGGAUUAGCUAGUAGGUGGGGUAAAGGCUCACCUAGGCGACGAUCCCUAGCUGGUCUGCGAGGAUGACCAUCCACAUGGGAACUGAGAUACGGUCCAGACUCCUACGGGAGGCAGCAUGGGGGAAGAUGGCACUAGGGGCGCAAGCCGGAUGCAGCCAUGCCGCGUGUAUUAAGAAGUCCUUCGGGUUGUAAAGUACUUUCAGCGGUGAGGCGUUACCCGCAGAAGAAGCACCGGCUAACUCCGUGCCAGCCGCCGCGGUAAUUC